rnacentral:rRNA from 1 species
ACAGCAGUCGCCGCGGUAAUACGGAGGGUGCAAGCGUUAUCCGGAUUUAUUGGGUUUAAAGGGUCCGUAGGCGGAUCUGUAAGUCAGUGGUGAAAUCUCACAGCUUAACUGUGAAACUGCCAUUGAUACUGCAGGUCUUGAGUAAAUUUGAAGUGGCUGGAAUAAGUAGUGUAGCGGUGAAAUGCAUAGAUAUUACUUAGAACACCAAUUGCGAAGGCAGGUCACUAAGAUUUAACUGACGCUGAUGGACGAAAGCGUGGGGAGCGAACAGGAUUAGAUACCCCCGUAGUCCCUGUCUCUUAUAC